GCAGCCGUAGCUUAGCUGGAUAGAGCACCUGACUACGAAUCAGGAGGUCAUAGGUUCGACUCCUAUCGGUUGCG
rnacentral:tRNA from 1 species